rnacentral:rRNA from 1 species
GCAGCCCAGAGCCUGUAUCAGUGUGUGUGUUAGUGGAAGCGUCUGGAAAGGCGCGCGAUACAGGGUGACAGCCCCGUACACAAAAAUGCACAUGCUGUGAGCUCGAUGAGUAGGGCGGGACACGUGGUAUCCUGUCUGAAUAUGGGGGGACCAUCCUCCAAGGCUAAAUACUCCUGACUGACCGAUAGUGAACCAGUACCGUGAGGGAAAGGCGAAAAGAACCCCGGCGAGGGGAGUGAAAAAGAACCUGAAACCGUGUACGUACAAGCAGUGGGAGCACGCUUAGGCGUGUGACUGCGUACCUUUUGUAUAAUGGGUCAGCGACUUAUAUUCUGUAGCAAGGUUAACCGAAUAGGGGAGCCGAAGGGAAACCGAGUCUUAACUGGGCGUUAAGUUGCAGGGUAUAGACCCGAAACCCGGUGAUCUAGCCAUGGGCAGGUUGAAGGUUGGGUAACACUAACUGGAGGACCGAACCGACUAAUGUUGAAAAAUUAGCGGAUGACUUGUGGCUGGGGGUGAAAGGCCAAUCAAACCGGGAGAUAGCUGGUUCUCCCCGAAAGCUAUUUAGGUAGCGCCUCGUGAAUUCAUCUCCGGGGGUAGAGCACUGUUUCGGCAAGGGGGUCAUCCCGACUUACCAACCCGAUGCAAACUGCGAAUACCGGAGAAUGUUAUCACGGGAGACACACGGCGGGUGCUAACGUCCGUCGUGAAGAGGGAAACAACCCAGACCGCCAGCUAAAGGUCCCAAAAGUCAUGGUUAAGUGGGAAACGAUGUGGGAAGGCCCAGACAGCCAGGAUGUUGGCUUAGAAGCAGCCAUCAUUUAAAGAAAGCGUAAUAGCUCACUGGUCGAGUCGGCCUGCGCUGAAGAUGUAACGGGGCUAAACCAUGCACCGAAGCUGCGGCAGCGACGCUGAUGCGUUGUUGGGUAGGGGAGCGUUCUGUAAGCCUGCGAAGGUGUGCUGUGAGGCAUGCUGGAGGUAUCAGAAGUGCGAAUGCUGACAUAAGUAACGAUAAAGCGGGUGAAAAGCCCGCUCGCCGGAAGACCAAGGGUUCCUGUCCAACGUUAAUCGGGGCAGGGUGAGUCGACCCCUAAGGCGAGGCCGAAAGGCGUAGUCGAUGGGAAACAGGUUAAUAUUCCUGUACUUGGUGUUACUGCGAAGGGGGGACGGAGAAGGCUAUGUUGGCCGGGCGACGGUUGUCCCGGUUUAAGCGUGUAGGCUGGUUUUCCAGGCAAAUCCGGAAAAUCAAGGCUGAGGCGUGAUGACGAGGCACUACGGUGCUGAAGCAACAAAUGCCCUGCUUCCAGGAAAAGCCUCUAAGCAUCAGGUAACAUCAAAUCGUACCCCAAACCGACACAGGUGGUCAGGUAGAGAAUACCAAGGCGCUUGAGAGAACUCGGGUGAAGGAACUAGGCAAAAUGGUGCCGUAACUUCGGGAGAAGGCACGCUGAUACGUAGGUGAAGUCCCUCGCGGAUGGAGCUGAAAUCAGUCGAAGAUACCAGCUGGCUGCAACUGUUUAUUAAAAACACAGCACUGUGCAAACACGAAAGUGGACGUAUACGGUGUGACGCCUGCCCGGUGCCGGAAGGUUAAUUGAUGGGGUCAGCGCAAGCGAAGCUCUUGAUCGAAGCCCCGGUAAACGGCGGCCGUAACUAUAACGGUCCUAAGGUAGCGAAAUUCCUUGUCGGGUAAGUUCCGACCUGCACGAAUGGCGUAAUGAUGGCCAGGCUGUCUCCACCCGAGACUCAGUGAAAUUGAACUCGCUGUGAAGAUGCAGUGUACCCGCGGCAAGACGGAAAGACCCCGUGAACCUUUACUAUAGCUUGACACUGAACAUUGAGCCUUGAUGUGUAGGAUAGGUGGGAGGCUUUGAAGUGUGGACGCCAGUCUGCAUGGAGCCGACCUUGAAAUACCACCCUUUAAUGUUUGAUGUUCUAACGUUGACCCGUAAUCCGGGUUGCGGACAGUGUCUGGUGGGUAGUUUGACUGGGGCGGUCUCCUCCUAAAGAGUAACGGAGGAGCACGAAGGUUGGCUAAUCCUGGUCGGACAUCAGGAGGUUAGUGCAAUGGCAUAAGCCAGCUUGACUGCGAGCGUGACGGCGCGAGCAGGUGCGAAAGCAGGUCAUAGUGAUCCGGUGGUUCUGAAUGGAAGGGCCAUCGCUCAACGGAUAAAAGGUACUCCGGGGAUAACAGGCUGAUACCGCCCAAGAGUUCAUAUCGACGGCGGUGUUUGGCACCUCGAUGUCGGCUCAUCACAUCCUGGGGCUGAAGUAGGUCCCAAGGGUAUGGCUGUUCGCCAUUUAAAGUGGUACGCGAGCUGGGGUUAGAACGUCGUGAGACAGUUCGGUCCCUAUCUGCCGUGGGCGCUGGAGAAUUGAGGGGGGCUGCUCCUAGUACGAGAGGACCGGAGUGGACGCAUCACUGGUGUUCGGGUUGUCAUGCCAAUGGCACUGCCCGGUAGCUAAAUGCGGAAGAGAUAAGUGCUGAAAGCAUCUAAGCACGAAACUUGCCCCGAGAUGAGUUCUCCCUGACUCCUUGAGAGUCCUGAAGGAACGUUGAAGACGACGACGUUGAUAGGCCGGGUGUGUAAGCGCAGCGAUGCGUUGAGCUAACCGGUACUAAUGAACCGUGAGGCUUAACCUU